UCUACCCUAGGGUGGGGAAUAACUCCUCGAAAGGGGAGCUAAUGCCGACAUGUGCAACACUUUCGCAAGGGAGUGAUGGAAAGCCGUAUCGUGGAUACGGUGCCCAAGGAUGAGCUCACGUCCUAUCAGCUUGUUGGCGGGGUAACGGCCCACCAAGGCUGCGACGGGUAGCUGGUCUGAGAGGACGACCAGCCACACUGGCACUGCGACACGGGCCAG
rnacentral:rRNA from 1 species